AUGCUUGUUCAAAAGAAUUUGAGAUGUUAGGAAAGGAGAUGUUGAAGAAAUGUGGAGGUUUACCUCUAGCAAUUGUUGUAUUGGGAGGCUUACUUGCAACAAAGAAGUCAUGGAAUGAGUGGGAGAUGGUGCAAAAAAACAUCAAUGCAUACUUGAACAAGGACCAGCGACAAGAGUAUGGCGGAGUUACUGAGAUUUUGGCUUUAAGCUACAAUGAGUUGCCCUUUCAUUUAAAACCAUGUUUUUUAUAUCUUGGUCAUUAUCCAGAAGAUUUAGAGAUUUCAAAAAAAGAAUUAGUUAGACUAUGGAUUGCUGAAGGUUUUAUUUCUCCAUCACUGGGAGGAGGAGAAAUGUUGAUGGAGGAUGUAGCUGAACAAUACCUAGAAGAGCUAACAAAUAGAUGUUUGGUUCAAGUUGGUAGAAGGAAUCAUACAGGGGCAAGUGUGAAGACAUGUUAUAUUCAUGAUCUCUUAAGAGAUUUGUGUGUGUCAAAAGCUCGAGAGGAGAAUUUCUUUGGAAUUGUUCAGCCGUCGAUGAAUGGAAACGAGAAUUGUUCUCUCGAUCUAACUGUUGCUGCUGUAUCCAAGAUGCGUAGAAUUGUUGUUCAUCCUAGCAAAAGGUAUGUUUCCUUGAAGGGAGAAUGUCCCAACUUACGUUCUCUUUUACUCUUUCAAGAUGAGGAAUUGAUAAGACUACGCAUAUCAAAAUGCAAUAAUUUUAAAUUCCUAAGGAUCUUGAAACUCUUAAGAGAGGUUGGUUCAUGGAUUAUGCCAAGUGCAAUUGGUUAUCUCUUUCAUUUAAGGUACUUGAGUUUAAAAUGCAGGAAGUUGGUCUUGCCAUGUUCUAUUGGCAAAUUGAAGAAUUUACACACUUUAUCAAUCCAAGUGGAAUUUUUAGUGAAAAUUCCUAAUGUCUUGUCUAAGUUGGAACGCCUGAGGCAUUUUCUACUAAACUACUACCAUGGAUUCAAAAAGUAUGGAUCCCACGAGUGGCAUGAAAUAAAAGGGUUUUGCCAAGUAAACACUUUGGAAAAUAUUGAAACUAUGAAGUACAUAAGGGUUGAGAAUUUGACUAAAAACAAUGCACUGCUCAAGCUGACAAAUAUUCGGAGUUUAGGAAUACAGUUUAUGAGAUCAAAAGAUGUUGAGACUAUCCUAAGAUCCCCUAGCUUUGGAUUAGACCGCCUUCGAUCAUUGCACAUGAGGUUAGAGGAACCAAUUCCAUUUCCAACAUUGGAGCAACUUUCUCAAUGUCACCACCUCUACAAACUAUUCUUACAUGGGAGAAUACAGGAAGACCCACGUUCGAGCCAUCAUGUUUUGAAAUUUCUUCCGACCAACAUCUGCAAGUUAACUUUGUGGGAGUCGCACAUUAAUCAAGACCCAAUGCCUGUACUAGAAAAGCUACCUCAUUUGAGGAUUCUCUGCUUAGGGUCUUCAUCAUAUAGGGGGACUAAAAUGUCUUGCUCUGCUAAUGGGUUUCCUCAACUUGAUUCUCUUCACAUAUAUUCAUUAGAUUUAAAAGAGUGGCAAAUGGAAGUAGGGGCAAUGCCAUGUCUUCGUAGCUUACAUUUGACUUGUGUUCCUCGCAUGAAGAUGUUUCCAGAAGGGUUGAGGUAUAUCACUACUCUUCAGGAAAUGAAAUUAAAAGGGAUGAGGAAAUCACUGGUAAAGAGGAUUCAAGUUAUAGAGGGAAGGGAAGGCGAGGAUUUUUAUAAAGUGCGCCAUAUACUCUCCAUCCGGAUCAUUGACACGUGGAUUCGCUGAACUGAUGAACUUCUAAUUUUGUUGUGGUGAGUUUGUUAUUUCUACCAUAAAUCUCUUCUCUUUUCAUUUGAGUCUAUACUUUCCAUAACAAAUUAUGCCAAUUUAUUCUCUGUUUUUGUUAUAUUAUUAUCUUAAAACAAUAAACAUGAACAUGGUUAUGGAUUGGCUUGGCAGGUUUGAAGAAUCGAUGGCUGAAUUUUAUGAGCAAUCAGCACUCAAAUGGCUAUCUUUCCAUGUGAUUUGGGCAUUAAUUUGUUGCAAGACAACGCCACUGUAAUUGUCUUACUGUUAUCUUUAUGAUGUUGUUUUCAUUUAUUUUGGAAUUACUAAUAAUUUGUAGCAAUCUGUAUUCCAUGUUUGUUAUUUGAAAUUUGCAGUUCUUGUUCUUGUGUUGUAUGGUUUGUUCUCUUUGUUCAUCUUAUUUGUAUAAUACUGAAUCUCAUUGGUUCUAUCAGCUAUGUGAACAAUGGCUUGUCAUUCUUUUAAUCCUGCAAAAUUUCAAAGCUCUCUCCUUGUUCUUUCCUCUUCAAGAAAGGUCUGCAGAUAGCCUAAUGGUGGAAAGUAGUAAUUCAAACGUUGCAAGUUCUGGGAUUUUAAACCCAAAUUCCAACAAUGUUUUUGUAAAUUUACUUUCAUGUCUCCUUAUGCACAUAAGCAUGGCGAUUUUAGGAAAAAUGAUUCAUUACUGGUCUUCCUGUUUUUCUUUCCUCUGUUCUGCGAGUAUAUGAUGUGUUUGACAUUGAGUUGGCCGCCAAAACUGGGAGCUUGCAAGCCAGCGCAAUGCCAAAUGUAAUGUGUUUGGUAUUGAAUUGACUGUCAAAAGUUACGGUUUGAGAAUCAAAGGCAAAUGCUAAACAAGACUUUGAUGUCUUGUUUGAUCGACUAGGUCGUCCUUGUAGAACUGCUUCCUUUGCAUCUAACUAUGGGUGAUGUCCUGAGAUCAAUGAAGAACAUCAAUUCACCUCUACUCUUCAUUCUUAGGGUGGCAACUUCUCUCUGGUAGUCACGACAAACUGUUGUUGCUGAAGGCUUCUCAGUUUUCAAGAUUGUUGGAUUAAUGGAGUUAAAGAGUGGCGUAACUUCCAUGAUAGCUGCAAAUGAUCAUGUUAUUUGUCAUUCCAACCCUAGUGCAAUAUGCUUGAUGCUUAAGCAAUGUCAAUCUAUCAGAUGAUUGAUUAAAUUUAUUUGAAUUAUUAAAAAUUCCUUAAGAAGACAACCUACAGAUUCCAUUAAAAACAAAAGGGCAAUUAGAUAGACAGACUCUGAGCACCAAAACUGAAUUUGUUCUUUUCUCCUUGUCUUUUUCUUCUUUUAUUUACUUUUUUUUUUUUCAUUUAUGUGACUAACAAAGAAUAAGACUACACCCAGAAAGAGAUCGCUACUAGUGUAUAGAAUAAUAAUUCUCAAAAAAUCACAAAAUUAAACAAAGAAAUGGAAAUACAUUAACAAAUAAUUUAUAUCAUCAACUUAGUUACAGAGUCAUAAAUGAUGAAAGAUAAGAUAAGAGUGAUACAAUAAAAAUGCUCAAGCAAUUUUCCUUGCUAUUGCAUGCCAGGCUCGGAUUAUGUCAAUUCAUCUAACACCAAUGACAAGUAAUUGACGAUUGAAUCUUAUUAAAACAGUGUUUGAUAAUUACCUAUACUUCUUCCUUCCUGUAUGGCAUCGAAUCCUAUUGAAUUUGUGGGACAAAAUUAGUAGAGAAUAAAGUAACGAAUAAGAGACACUUUGUCCUUUUGCUUUUGUAGUUCCUGGAAAACAAAGUAAAGAAAAGAGAUUCUUUGUCCUUUUGCUUUUCCUUGUCCAAUAUGAAGAAAAGAAUAUCAACUAAGGCAAGUAUAGGUACCCAGCUGAAGCUAAUACAUAUAGAAAUUCAAAAAAUUGUGUAGAAAUUGUUGAUACGGCCUGAUUUAUUGUUCUCCUCCAAAACCCUUCGACUUGUGCAAUUAACCAUUUUGUUCUUUCAAAUUCAGCCACACUGCCUUGUUGCAUUUCCAUCUUACCUUCGAAAGAAAAAUGGCAGAGUCAAUCGUCUCGCUUACCAUUGAAAGAAUUGCAGAUUUACUCAUUCAUGAAGCCCUUUUCUUGAAUGAUGUGAAAGAAGAAGUUGAGAGCCUAAAGGGUGAACUGGAGCGGAUGAAGAGCUUCUUGAAAGAUGUGGACCGUAAGCAGGAACAAGAUGAACGUCUCCGAACUCGGGUGAGGGAAAUCAGAGAUCUUGCUUAUGAUGCUGAAGAUGUUAUAGACUCUUAUAUUCUUAAAGUUGCAAAUCGAGGAGGCUUCUGUACGAUCAUCAAGAGAUUUACAACCCUUUCCAGUACUCACAAAAUCGGGAAUGAGGUCAAUACUAUUCUAACCAAGCUUGAGAAUAUCUCGAAAACUCUUCUGGUUUUUGGGAUAUCAAGGGAAGGAGAGGGCUCUAAUUCUGCUGCUGAGAUGCAGCACCGGUUAAGAAGAUCGUACCCACAUGUUGAAGAAGAUGAUGUUGUCAGCUUGGAGGUUAGCACAAGGGAUGUUAUGGAUCAAUUAAUGAAGAAAGAGGAUAGACUCCAUGUUGUUUCCAUAGUGGGCAUGGGGGGCAUAGGUAAGACCACUCUUGCCAAGAAAGUAUAUAACCACAAUGAUGUGAAGAAACAUUUUGAUUGUUGUGCUUGGGUUUUCAUAUCCCAACAAUGCAAGCCAAGAGAGGUUCUCCAUGGAGUCUUGAUAAAGAUUCUGUCUCCGUCAAUAAAAGACAGAGAGUUAAUCGAUAAACUCAAAGAAGAUGAAUUGGUAGAAAAGCUUUAUGAUGUCUUGAAAGAUAAACGAUAUUUGGUGGUUUUUGAUGAUAUAUGGAGAUAUGAGGAUUGGGACAGCCUUAAACCUGCUUUUCCCAAAGGAAAUGAAGGAAGCAAGCUCUUAUUCACAACACGCAAUAAGGAAGUUGCUAUGCUUGCUGAUCCUCGUAGCUCGCCAAUAGAGCUCUCACUUCUUACGGGCGAUGAAAGUGGGAAGCUUUUCAAAAGGAAAGCAUUUCCGGAAAAUAAGAUGGAGUCUCAUGCUUGUUCAAAAGAAUUUGAGACGUUAGGAAAGGAGAUGUUGAAGAAAUGUGGAGGUUUACCUCUUGCAAUUGUUGUAUUGGGAGGAUUACUUGCAACAAAGAAGUCAUGGAAUGAGUGGGAGAUGGUGCAAAAAAACAUCAAUGCUCACUUGAACAAGGUCCAACAACAAGAGUAUGGUGGAGUUAAUGGGAUUUUGGCUUUAAGCUACAAUGAGUUGCCCUUUCAUUUAAAACCAUGCUUUUUAUAUCUUGGUCAUUAUCCAGAAGAUUCAGAGAUUUCAAAGAAGGAAUUAAUUAGGUUAUGGAUUGCUGAAGGUUUUAUUUCUCCAUCAUUGGAAGGAGGAGAAAUGUUGAUGGAGGAUGUAGCUGAACAAUACCUAGAAGAGCUAAUAAAUAGAUGUUUGGUUCAAGUUAGCAGAAGGGGUCAUAGAGGGACAAGUGUGAAAACAUGUCGUAUUCAUGAUCUCUUAAGAGACUUGUGUGUGUCAAAAGCUCAAGAGGAGAAUUUCUUUCAAAUUAUUCAACCACCGAUGAAUGGAAAUGAGAAUCGUUCUCUUGAUCUAACCGUGGCGACAGUACCCAAGGGGCGCAGGAUUGCUGUCUAUCUUAACGAAAGGUAUGUUUCCUUGAAUGGAAAAUGUCUAAGCUUACGUUCUCUUUUACUCUUUCAAGAUGAGGGAUUGAUAAGGCUACACAUAUCAAAAUGCAUUAAUUUUAGAUUCCUAAGAGUGUUGAAACUCUUGAGAAAAAAUGAUUUUUGGACUCUAUCAAGUGAAAUUGGUAAUCUGUGUCAUUUAAGGUAUUUGGGUAUUCAAUGUCAAGGAGUGGAUUUGCCACGUUCUAUUGGCAAGUUGAAGAAUUUACACACUUUAUUUAUCCAAGUUCCCGGUUGUUCAGUGAAAAUUCCUAGUGUCUUAUCCAAGUUGCAACGCUUGAGGCAUCUUGUACUAACCGGCCAUUGGAGAAACUGGCCGGUCAAAUGGCCUGAAAUAAAAAGGUGUUCCCAAGGAAAUAGUUUAAAAAAUAUUGAAACUUCGAAGUACAUAAGGAUUGAGAAUUUGACUGAAAACAAUGCAUUGCUCAAGUUGACAAAUAUUCAGAGUUUAGGAAUACAAUUUGGGAGAUCAGAAGACGUUGAGGCCAUCCUAAAAUCUCCUAGUUUUGGAUUACGCCGCCUUCGCUCAUUGCACAUGUUGUUAGAUGGAUCAAUUCCAUUUCCAGAAUUGGAGCAACUUUCUCAAUGUCAUCACCUCUCCAAACUAUUCUUACGUGGGCAGAUACAAGAAGACCCAAACUCGAGCCAUCAUGUUCUGGAAUUUCUUCCAACAAACAUUUGCAAGUUGACUUUGUGGCAAUCGCUUAUUAAUGAGGAUCCAAUGCCUGUACUAGAAAAGCUGCCUCAUCUGAGGAUUCUUAUCUUGAAGAACUCAUCAUAUACGGGAACUAAAAUGUCUUGCUCUGUCAAUGGGUUUCCUCAACUUGAUUCUCUUGAUAUCUAUGGAUCAAAUUUAGCAGAGUGGCAAAUAGAAGAAGGGGCAAUGCCACGUCUUCGUAGUUUAUAUUUGGUUGUUGUUCCUGGCUUGAAGAUGGUUCCAGAAGGGUUGAGGUAUAUUACUACUCUUCAGGAAAUGUAUUUACAUGGUAUGAACAGAUCAUUGGUAGAGAGGAUUCGAGUUAGAGAUGGAAGGGAAGGAGAGGAUUUUUAUAAAGUGCGCCAUGUACUCUCCAUCGGAAUAUUUUAGGAGCUGUACGGAAUGUCUAAUGUUUGUUCUUUCACAGAAAGCAUCAUCCUUGCCCAAAGUAGUUGUGGUGAGUUGGUAAUUUCUACCAUAAAUCUCUUCUCUUUUCAUUUGGGUCUACCCUUUCCAUAAUGAAAUAUGUCAGUUUGUUCAUUGUUUUUGUUAUUAUUGUUACAUUAUCUAUUGCAUUUCCCAAGUAUUAUUAUCUUAAGACAAUAAACAUGAAAAUCUAUUUGGAUUGACUUGGCAGGUCGGCACUCCAUUGUCCAACUUUCAUGUGAUUUGGGCAUUAACUUGUUGCAAGACAGCGCCACUGUAAUUGUCUAACUGUUAUCUUGAUGAUGUUGUUUUCAUUUAUUUUGGCACUGUGACUGAAUUGUAGCAAUCUGUAUUCAAUGUUUUUUUAUUUGAAAUUUGUAGUUGUUGUUCUUGUGUUGCAUGGUUUGUUCUCUCUGUUCAUCUUAUUUGUAUAAUACUCAUUGGUGUCCUAUCAUCUAUGUGAACGAUGGUUCUUUUAAUUCUCCAAGAGCUCAAAGCUCUGUCCUUGCUCAGUCCUCUUCAUGAGGACAGGUUUUUAAUGGUGGAAAAUAGUAAUUCAAAGGUUGCAAUUUCUGGGAUUUUAAACCCAAAUCCCAAGUUUUCUUGCAUAUUUCAACAACAUUUUUGUAAAUUUGCUGUCUGAAAUAGUUCCUAUUUGUUCCACUCUCAAUGAGACAGCAGGAGGGCUCGGUGCAACUGGAAAUUCUAAGAAAGUAGAUGCUUGUGAACUCUUUCCUGUUAGAUACAGGGUUCUUACCUUAUGAGAUAACACAUAGGAACAUCCUGUGCUUUCCUCUAUCAAAGGAUAUUAAAAAUAUACUGCCAAUGAAUAAAAUAAUUUUCCUUUUAAAUAUAAUAAAUAAUUUUUUUAUUUUUAUUUAAUUUACAAGAAAUAAAAGUGAUUAAAUUCAUUCGAAUUAUGAAUUUAAACACUUUCUUUUAAUGGAGAAAACUAUCGAAGACAAAUCAACUUGGGUCUUAUCAAUUAGACCGCCUAUAUAUAUAUAUAUAUAUGUUUGUUUAUUUAUUUAUUUAUUAACUUCCUUCUACUAUCUAUUUUUCAACAAUAGUAGAAAAUUUCAUUACUCUAAUGGAUACUUCAUGUCACAAUAAUAGAAAUACCAUAGCUUCACUUCAUAUUUCCUUUUUUCUUUUGGUUUUUAUAUCGUACAAUGAAUAACUCCAUGACACUAUAAGCCAGCUAGCUACUUAUUAUUUGCAAUAUAAUCUAAACCAUUAUAUCUUAUACUAAAAAAAUCCAAUUUAUAGUGAAAUUAAUUGUUAUAAGUCUUGAUCUUGUCAAUUUUUUUUGUCUAACAAAAGUGUUAUGAUGGCAAAGGGAAUCAAAUUUCUAAGUAUAGCCGGCUGAAGAAACAAGUUAACAUAAUAUAACAAACAAUUAAUUUAGAGUAGCUAGGGAAACAUAGUGAAGUAAACUUUUGUUAAUUAAAACAUUAAUAUCUAUAUAACACGUAAAUUAUAUAAUAUGAUAAAAUACAUAUAAACAUACAUUUGGUUUUCACAAUUUAUAUAAUAAAAUGCACCAUGUACUCUCCAUCCAAAUAACUAAAUACAAAUAAUUGAAAGCAACAUUCUUCCUUAAUAUAGUUACGGUGAGUUACUUAUUUCUACCAUAAAUAUGUUUUCUUUUCAUUUAAAUCUAUUCUUUCCAUCACCAAUUAUGUCAAUGUGUUCUUUGUUUUUGUUAAUAUUGUUAUAUUAUCUACUACAUUUCCCAAGUAUUAUUAUAUAUCUUAAAGGCAAUAAACAUGAAAAUAUAUUUGAAUGGACUUGGCAGUUCUGAUGUGUUGAUGACUAAAAUUUUAUGAGCAAGCAGCACUCCAAUGCCCAUCUCUCCAUAUGAUUUGGGCAUUCAUUUAUUGCAAGACACCACCACUGUAAUUGCCCUGUGAAUAAAUUGUGGCAAUUUGUAUUUGAUUUUUUUUAUUUAUUUGAAAUUUUUAGUUGCUGUUCUUGUGUUGUAUAUAUAUUUUUUGUUCUCUUUGUUCAUCUUAUUUGUAUAAUAUUAUGAGUCUCAUUGGUGUCCUAUCAUCCAUGUGAACAAUGGCUUGUUAAUCUUUUAAUUCUGCAAAAGCUCCAAGCUCUUUCCUUGUUCAUUCCUCUUCAGGACAGGUUUACAGAUAACCUAAUGGUGGAAAGCAGUAAAUCAAAGGUUGCAAUUUCUGGGAUUUGGAACCCAAAUUCCAACAACAUUUUUGUAAAUAAAGUAGUAAAAAUGAUUCAUCGGUCUCUCCACCAAACAUGAUUCAUUUGGCAUUACCUUAGUCUUAUCGAAAUCUACACUUCAAUCUUUUUUCGUCUUAACAAAAGUAGUCCAGGAAAUGUUUCUACUGAUCAGGUAUUCCUUCAUUUUCUCCUGCUUUUUGCACAACCCCAGGAUCAGAUGAUCAGGGAGUUUGCUCCUAGUUGUUCCACUCUCAAUGAGACAGCAUGAGGGCUUGGUGAAACUGGAAACUCCAAGAAAGUAGAUGCUUGUUACUGGUCACUUGAAAGAAUACUAAACCAGGGCUUGGCCCCAUUUUAUAAUGAAAUGCCUGCAAGAAAAUUGAAAAUUGGUAAGAACUGGUAAUAACAUAUAGGAAGAGCCUUUAACAAAAAUGGGACUAACAUGGUACCAAAGUAAAAUAAUUAAGGUUUCAAAUCCAUGUUAACAUAACAUGGGACUAACAUGCUAGUUUCCUCCAUAUUUAACAAAAACCGUAAUAAAUUUUAUUUAAUCUUCCAUGUGAGUCUUAUAUUAUUGAUCUUUUUCUCCUUUUUUUUUUUUUAAAAAAAAGAAGUGGGAGUGGCUAGCAUGUGUUAGAAAAUUGGUGGAAAAAGAAAGCACAAGGAAAAUAGCUUUUGCUUUUGCAUUCCCUGAAAAGGACUCAAUCCUAACUUUUGAGAAAAUAAUAUUCGAGUAUUUAAUUUAAUAAUAAAUGUAUGUAUUUUUAUUCAAAAAAUUUUGAAUUCUCUUUUUUUUUUCACAUACAAAAAUCACUUAACAAAAUAAAACACAAAAUAAAUCUCUUAUAACAUGAUAAUCCAUAAUCUCAUUUCUUAGUGAUAUGAUAAUGGGUAAAUGUCAUUAAAUGAACAAUUCUUAUAAAAAAUAAACGAUAAUUAAAGAAAACAUUUUGUCUUUGCUCACUUGAUUAAUUUUCUACAUCAUGUUUUCUCAUUAUUUUUACAACUUUAGGGAUAAUAACUAGGCUCAAUUAGAUUCAUUUCUUAUGCUUCGUCCUCUCAUAAUAGAGUUAAGUUUUUCACUUUUUUAUCUAAUUAGAAAGAAUAUAUAUAUGCUUCUCCCUAUCAUAUAAUUCAUUAGGGUACAAUUGAACAUAUAUAUAUAUAUAUAUUUAAAUAUUUAUAUUUUUUACAUAUAUUAAUAGAAAUAUAAUCACAUUUUGUUAAUAACAAUAAGUCUAAUAAUAAAAUAAAAUUAAAGUUAAGAGAAUUAGAUAUAAUGACAGUAAUUAUUUAUAACUAUGUAAUUUAUAUCAUGAAUGUACUUGUAGGUGUAAUUGAUAUGUUUUUUUUUAAAUGUUUAUAUAUCUUUGUAUACCUUAACAUAAAUUGAUAUCGUAUUAUCAAAAACAAUAUAUUAAUGUAUAAGAGUAUUAUUUAAAAAACUGAUUCAAUUGUUAAUGACAAAGAUAAGAUUAAUAAUUAUCAUACUUGAUUUAUAUUUUUUUUAACUGGAUAAGUAUAAGUAUAUUAUAUUUGUAUAUAUACAAAAAAAAUCAGGCCAACUUGUGUAUGGUAUUCAAGGGCAGGACUUCCACAUUUGUUUUGUGUUAUUGAAGCUUUGGGUUUCUGCUAAUUUGUGCUGUAAUUGAAGUAAAUCUAAGGACUCUUGUCAGAGAUGGAAGAAACAGAGACUUAAAUUUUUACUUUUAUUUUGUUGCCUUCUUAAAAUUUCAGGAUUGGGAUAUAAAUCCACCCACCCACAGGGGAACACUAAAGUCAAGUGAUGAUGAUUACAUGUAGCUCCUGUUCCUAUAUGGGAUUAAGCCAAUUGGUUUUGUGGGACAAAGUUAGUGGACAAGAAAGUAAGGAAAAGAGAUUCUUUCCCCCUUUGCUUUUCCUGUCUAAUGUGUAUGCAGCUAAUGCUAAUACAUAUUAUUGUACAGAAACAGCAAUGAUAGAAGAAGAAGAAAACAGAGUAUUGCUCUUGUUGGCUUCCUCCAGAUUUCGUCUCGGUUUGACAAAAAACAGUAGGGGUUAAAUCUUUUAUGUCGGCCAUAUUAUUGAUCUCUUUUUCGUUUUCUUUUCUAAAAGAAGUGGGAGUAUUCACACUGCAAUAGCAUAUAUUAGAAAAUUGGUGGAAAAGAAGGUACAGGGAAAAGAGCUUUUGCUUAUGUUAAUAUGGUUAAGUUAUUUUCUCCUGCAAAACUCAUUGACUUGCCCAAUUAAUCUGUCCACCCUGUAGCAUUUCAUCUGUCUUGCCUUUGAAAGAAGAAUGGCAGAGGCUAUCGUCUCGCUUGCCAUUGAAAGAAUUGCAGAUUUACUCAUUCAUCAUGAAGCCCUUUUCUUGAAUGAUGUGAGACAAGAAGUUGAGAGCCUAAAGGCUGAACUAGAGCGGAUGAAGAGCUUCUUGAAAGAUGUAGACCGUAAGCAGGAACAAGAUGAACGUCUUCGCAAUCGGGUGAGGGAAAUCCGAGAUCUUGCUUAUGAUGCUGAAGAUAUUAUAGACUCUUAUAUUCCUAAAGUUGCACAUCGAGCAGGCUUCCAUGGGUUCAUCAAGAGAUUUACAACCCUUUUCAUCACUCACAAAAUAGGGAAGCAGGUCAAAGAUAUUCAAACCAAGCUUGGGGACAUCUCGGAAACUCUUCCCGCUUAUGGGAUAUCAGUAGAAGGAGAGGGCUCUAAUUCUGCUGCUGAGAUGCAGCGCCGGUUAAGAAGAUCGUACCCACAUGUUGAAGAAGAUGAUGUUGUCAGCUUGGAGGUUAGCACAAGGGAUGUUAUGGAUCAAUUAAUGAAGAAAGAGGACAGAGUCCAUGUUGUUUCCAUAGUGGGCAUGGGGGGCAUAGGUAAGACCACUCUAGCGAAGAAAGUAUAUAACCACAAUGAUGUGAAAAAAUAUUUUGAUUGUUGUGCUUGGGUUUUCAUAUCCCAACAAUGCAAGCCAAGAGAGGUUCUCCAUGGAGUCUUGAUAAAGUUUCUGUCUCCUUCAAUAAAAGACAGAGAGUUAAUCGAUAAACUCAAAGAAGAUGAAUUGGUUGAAAAGCUUUAUGAUGUCUUGAAAGAUAAACGAUAUUUGGUGGUUUUUGAUGAUAUAUGGAGAUGCGAGGAUUGGGAUAGCCUUAAACCUGCUUUUCCCAAAGGAAAUGAGGGAAGCAAGCUCUUAUUCACAACACGCAACAAGGAAGUUGCUAUGAUUGCUGAUCCUCGUAGCUCGCCAAUAGAGCUCCCACUUCUUACAGGCGAUGAAAGUUGGACGCUUUUCAAAAGGAAAGCAUUUUCGGAAAAUAAGAUGGAGUCUCAUGCUUGUUCAAAAGAAUUUGAGAUGUUAGGAAAGGAGAUGUUGAAGAAAUGUGGAGGUUUACCUCUUGCAAUUGUUGUAUUGGGAGGCUUACUUGCAACAAAGAAGUCAUGGAAUGAGUGGGAGAUGGUGCAAAAAAACAUCAAUGCUCACUUGAACAAGGUCCAACAACAAGAGUAUGGUGGAGUUAAUGGGAUUUUGGCUUUAAGCUACAAUGAGUUGCCCUUUCAUUUAAAACCAUGCUUUUUAUAUCUUGGUCAUUAUCCAGAAGAUUCAGAGAUUUCAAAGAAGGAAUUAAUUAGGUUAUGGAUUGCUGAAGGUUUUAUUUCUCCAUCAUUGGAAGGAGGAGAAAUGUUGAUGGAGGAUGUAGCUGAACAAUACCUAGAAGAGCUAAUAAAUAGAUGUUUGGUUCAAGUUAGCAGAAGGGGUCAUAGAGGGACAAGUGUGAAAACAUGUCGUAUUCAUGAUCUCUUAAGAGACUUGUGUGUGUCAGAAGCUCAAGAGGAGAAUUUCUUUCAAGUUAUUCAACC
rnacentral:lncRNA from 1 species